rnacentral:rRNA from 1 species
UGUCCGGAGGGAAGAAGUCAGUGACGGUACCUCUGGAGGAAGCCCCGGCUAACUCCGUGCCAGCAGCCGCGGUAAUACGGGGGGGCGAGCGUUGUUCGGAAUUACUGGGCGUAAAGGGCGCGUAGGCGGUUUCAGAAGUUUUGGGUGAAAGCCCCCGGCUCAACCGGGGGAAGUGCCUAGGAAAACCAUGGGACUGGAGUGCUGGAGAGGCAAGCGGAAUUUCUGGUGUAGCGGUGAAAUGCGUAGAUAUCAGAAGGAACAUCUGAGGCGAAGGCGGCUUGCUGGACAGACACUGACGCUGAGGCGCGAAAGCUAGGGGAGCAAACGGGAUUAGAUACCCCGGUAGUCCUAGCCGUAAACGAUGGGUACUUGGUGUGGGGGGUUUUUGGAAGUCCCUCUGUGCCGGCGAUAACUCGUUAAGUACCCCGCCUGGGGAGUACGAUCGCAAGAUUG